GACAGAGGAUGCAAGCGUUAUCCGGAAUGAUUGGGCGUAAAGCGUCUGUAGGUGGCUUUUUAAGUCCGCCGUCAAAUCCCAGGGCUCAACCCUGGACAGGCGGUGGAAACUACCAAGCUGGAGUACGGUAGGGGCAGAGGGAAUUUCCGGUGGAGCGGUGAAAUGCGCAGAUAUCAGGAAGAACACCCGUGGCGAAGGCGGCUCUCUGGGACGGUACUGACGCUGAGACGCGAAAGCGUGGGGAGCGAACAGG
rnacentral:rRNA from 1 species